GGGUUGUGAGGUUAAGCGACUAAGCGUACACGGUGGAUGCCCUGGCAGUCAGAGGCGAUGAAGGACGUGCUAAUCUGCGAAAAGCGUCGGUAAGGUGAUAUGAACCGUUAUAACCGGCGAUGUCCGAAUGGGGAAACCCAGUGUGAUUCGUCACACUAUCGUUAACUGAAUACAUAGGUUAACGAGGCGAACCGGGGGAACUGAAACAUCUAAGUACCCCGAGGAAAAGAAAUCAACCGAGAUUCCCCCAGUAGCGGCGAGCGAACGGGGAGCAGCCCAGAGUCUGAAUCAGCUUGUGUGUUAGUGGAACGGUCUGGAAAGUCCGACGGUACAGGGUGAUAGUCCCGUACACCAAAAUGCACAGGUUGUGAACUCGAAGAGUAGGGCGGGACACGUGGUAUCCUGUCUGAAUAUGGGGGGACCAUCCUCCAAGGCUAAAUACUCCUGACUGACCGAUAGUGAACCAGUACCGUGAGGGAAAGGCGAAAAGAACCCCGGCGAGGGGAGUGAAAAAGAACCUGAAACCGUGUACGUACAAGCAGUGGGAGCACCUUCGGGUGUGACUGCGUACCUUUUGUAUAAUGGGUCAGCGACUUAUAUUCUGUAGCAAGGUUAACCGUAUAGGGGAGCCGCAGGGAAACCGAGUCUUAACUGGGCGUUAAGUUGCAGGGUAUAGACCCGAAACCCGGUGAUCUAGCCAUGGGCAGGUUGAAGGUUGGGUAACACUAACUGGAGGACCGAACCGACUAAUGUUGAAAAAUUAGCGGAUGACUUGUGGCUGGGGGUGAAAGGCCAAUCAAACCGGGAGAUAGCUGGUUCUCCCCGAAAGCUAUUUAGGUAGCGCCUCGUGAAUUCAUCUUCGGGGGUAGAGCACUGUUUCGGCUAGGGGGUCAUCCCGACUUACCAACCCGAUGCAAACUACGAAUACCGAAGAAUGUUAUCACGGGAGACACACGGCGGGUGCUAACGUCCGUCGUGAAGAGGGAAACAACCCAGACCGCCAGCUAAGGUCCCAAAGUCAUGGUUAAGUGGGAAACGAUGUGGGAAGGCACAGACAGCCAGGAUGUUGGCUUAGAAGCAGCCAUCAUUUAAAGAAAGCGUAAUAGCUCACUGGUCGAGUCGGCCUGCGCGGAAGAUGUAACGGGGCUAAACCAUGCACCGAAGCUGCGGCAGCGACACUAUGUGUUGUUGGGUAGGGGAGCGUUCUGUAAGCCUGCGAAGGUGACCUGUGAGGGUUGCUGGAGGUAUCAGAAGUGCGAAUGCUGACAUAAGUAACGAUAAAGCGGGUGAAAAGCCCGCUCGCCGGAAGACCAAGGGUUCCUGUCCAACGUUAAUCGGGGCAGGGUGAGUCGACCCCUAAGGCGAGGCCGAAAGGCGUAGUCGAUGGGAAACAGGUUAAUAUUCCUGUACUUGGUGUUACUGCGAAGGGGGGACGGAGAAGGCUAUGUUAGCCGGGCGACGGUUGUCCCGGUUUAAGCAUGUAGGCUGGUUGUCCAGGCAAAUCCGGAUAAUCAAGGCUGAGGUGUGAUGACGAGGCACUACGGUGCUGAAGUAACAAAUGCCCUGCUUCCAGGAAAAGCCUCUAAGCAUCAGGUAACAUUAAAUCGUACCCCAAACCGACACAGGUGGUCAGGUAGAGAAUACCAAGGCGCUUGAGAGAACUCGGGUGAAGGAACUAGGCAAAAUAGUGCCGUAACUUCGGGAGAAGGCACGCUGGUGUGUAGGUGAAGUCCCUGCGGAUGGAGCUGAGACCAGUCGAAGAUACCAGCUGGCUGCAACUGUUUAUUAAAAACACAGCACUGUGCAAACACGAAAGUGGACGUAUACGGUGUGACGCCUGCCCGGUGCCGGAAGGUUAAUUGAUGGGGUUAUCCGUAAGGAGAAGCUCUUGAUCGAAGCCCCGGUAAACGGCGGCCGUAACUAUAACGGUCCUAAGGUAGCGAAAUUCCUUGUCGGGUAAGUUCCGACCUGCACGAAUGGCGUAAUGAUGGCCAGGCUGUCUCCACCCGAGACUCAGUGAAAUUGAACUCGCUGUGAAGAUGCAGUGUACCCGCGGCAAGACGGAAAGACCCCGUGAACCUUUACUAUAGCUUGACACUGAACAUUGAGCCUUGAUGUGUAGGAUAGGUGGGAGGCUUUGAAGCGUGGACGCCAGUCUGCGUGGAGCCAACCUUGAAAUACCACCCUUUAAUGUUUGAUGUUCUAACGUUGGCCCCUUACCGGGGUUGCGGACAGUGUCUGGUGGGUAGUUUGACUGGGGCGGUCUCCUCCCAAAGCGUAACGGAGGAGCACGAAGGUUAGCUAAUCCUGGUCGGACAUCAGGAGGUUAGUGCAAUGGCAUAAGCUAGCUUGACUGCGAGCGUGACGGCGCGAGCAGGUGCGAAAGCAGGUCAUAGUGAUCCGGUGGUUCUGAAUGGAAGGGCCAUCGCUCAACGGAUAAAAGGUACUCCGGGGAUAACAGGCUGAUACCGCCCAAGAGUUCAUAUCGACGGCGGUGUUUGGCACCUCGAUGUCGGCUCAUCACAUCCUGGGGCUGAAGUAGGUCCCAAGGGUAUGGCUGUUCGCCAUUUAAAGUGGUACGCGAGCUGGGUUUAGAACGUCGUGAGACAGUUCGGUCCCUAUCUGCCGUGGGCGCUGGAGAAUUGAGGGGGGCUGCUCCUAGUACGAGAGGACCGGAGUGGACGCAUCACUGGUGUUCGGGUUGUCAUGCCAAUGGCACUGCCCGGUAGCUAAAUGCGGAAGAGAUAAGUGCUGAAAGCAUCUAAGCACGAAACUUGCCCCGAGAUGAGUUCUCCCUGAGACUUUAAGUCUCCUGAAGGAACGUUGAAGACGACGACGUUGAUAGGCCGGGUGUGUAAGCGCAGCGAUGCGUUGAGCUAACCGGUACUAAUGAACCGUGAGGCUUAACCUUACAACGCCGAAG
rnacentral:rRNA from 1 species